rnacentral:rRNA from 1 species
UACGAAGGGGGCUAGCGUUGCUUGGAAUCACUGGGCGUAAAGGGUGCGUAGGCGGGUCUUUAAGUCAGGGGUGAAAUCCUGGAGCUCAACUCCAGAACUGCCUUUGAUACUGAAGAUCUUGAGUUCGGGAGAGGUGAGUGGAACUGCGAGUGUAGAGGUUAAAUUCGUAGAUAUUCGCAAGAACACCAGUGGCGAAGGCGGCUCACUGGCCCGAUACUGACGCUGAGGCACGAAAGCGUGGGGAGCAAACAGG